GAGAGAGAGGAAGCGCACCAAAGAGCAGCACAGGAGGGGAGCAGAGCGCCAUAAGGAGGUGCAAAGGUGGAUAUGGACCCCGUAGGACACAGACACGGGAGGUGACUCGGGCCAGGUGGGGCGCAAGGACGGCAGCCCAAAACGACGGAGGCCAGG